GACGAACGCUGGCGGCGUGCCUAAUACAUGCAAGUCGAGCGAAGUCUUUCUGGUGCUUGCCCUAGAAAAACUUAGCGGCGAACGGGUGAGUAACACGUAAAGAACCUGCCUCAUAGACUGGGACAACUAUUGGAAACGAUAGCUAAUACCGGAUAACAGUAUUUCUCGCAUGAGAGAUAUUUAAAAGUUGGUUAUGCUAACACUAUGAGAUGGCUUUGCGGUGCAUUAGCUAGUUGGUGGGGUAAAGGCCCACCAAGGCGACGAUGCAUAGCCGACCUGAGAGGGUGAUCGGCCACACUGGGACUGAGACACGGCCCAGACUCCUACGGGAGGCAGCAGUAGGGAAUCUUCCGCAAUGGGCGAAAGCCUGACGGAGCAACGCCGCGUGAGUGAAGAAGGAUUUCGGUUCGUAAAGCUCUGUUGUUAGGGAAGAAUGGAUAUGUAGUAACUAUACAUGUAAGUGACGGUACCUAACCAGAAAGCCACGGCUAACUACGUG
rnacentral:rRNA from 1 species